UUGUGGAAUGUCAAGUGAAAACCCAGGGACCCACCGACGGUCAAUCGGGCGCGUUGCAGGAGUCGGAUAUCGAGCUCCGCAGUUCGGCCAGUCGGGAACGGAGAGGGUCUGCCCGACCGACAUAUAUUCGAUCGGACGGUGUCGGCAGUCGUCGGUCAGUGCGGUCGGUAGAGUCGGGCGCCGGUCAGGCGGGCCCAGAGGUGAGUCGGCAUGAGAGGGGCCGGUCGGUAUAUCCCAACAGUUGCCGCCCCCCACUCCUG
rnacentral:lncRNA from 1 species